rnacentral:lncRNA from 1 species
GAGCCGCGCCUCCGCCCCUUAUAUCCCCGGCAUUCGCCGCCGCCCCGCCUCUUUCCUCCCUCCCUGGGGAAAGCCUUGAGCUCCUAUACCUGCCCUCAACCUGGAGGGGGUUGUUGGUGGUGGCCCCCAGAGGGACCACCUGCUGGGGCGGGCCAGACCUGAGCCUGGUAGGGAGGAGACCCGCGGAGCUGGAGGUGAUGGUAGGUGGGGGACCUUCCUGGUGGCCCCUCCGGGCACCGAGCCCAGGCUCCUCUAGGUACUAACGGCCUGGUUUUGGAGGCACAGCAAACAUGUCACCGGCAACCCUCCGAUUAGAAUUGUGGCUUCCUUGCUCUGCCUGACCUUGGAUCCCUGCCCCUUCCUGUGUCCCCAGGCUCCCAAUAGAUGUCUGGCUCAACAGGACUGGGUAGAGAACAGUGGUGGGUGCUGGAGGCUCUCCCCACACUGGCCUGCAAGGCUCCCAUCCAGCCCCACCAGACGCAGCCUUCCAGGACACCGCCCCAUGGCCUCCGGGAGCACUCCUGGCUUCAUCCCGCAAGGCCUGUCGGGAGGCCUAGCCUCCGGGAAACCACUGAGUACUGGGAGUUGCUGGAUCAAGGAAGGCUUCCAUCCAUCCCCCAGGGGAUUUCAGGAGAAAGGUGUCGACAGUGGUCUCCAUGCCCGGCAGGAAACCUGGGUUUCAGCUCAGCACUCUGGUUUCCCGUUCUCUGAGCCCUGCUUUCCUCAUCUGCAAGGGACUGGCCCUGGUCUGGCUGCCCUUCCCGGGGCAAUCAGGUCAGAGCUGGAAUUACCUUUAAAGAAGUAGAAAUCCUUGCCCCUUGUCGGGCCACAGCUGUCCUCCCUCCACCCAGAAGGGCUCCUCCUCCCCGUUUCCUUCCUUAGCUUUGCUGGGCACACAAGUAGCCAGCUGGCGUUUAUAGAAAUGCGGUGUGCCAGGCCCACCUCUGCUCCUUCCACAGGAUGCUGAGCUCUAAAGAACCACAGACUCAUUCCAGAGCAGGUGGGGACAGGGAAAGGAAGCCCACCAGGCUCAGUCAGGAGCUCCAGACUUGGGGGAGUGGGGGAAGGUCGAGGGGGAGAAGAUGGCCCACACCUGGGCCCACACCCAGGCCCACAGCCAGCAGGAAGGGGCCUGGCUUAGGACACAGCUGGGCUGCAGUCCCACGCCGGCCCUGGGACCUGGACAAUCUGCUCAGCCGGCAGAUUAUUAGUUCCUUAAAGAGGGGACUGCCUUGGGCGCCUGGGUGGCUCAGUGGGUUAA